rnacentral:rRNA from 1 species
UACGUAGGUGGCAAGCGUUGUCCGGAUUUACUGGGCGUAAAGAGCGCGCAGGCGGUCGGAUUAGUCGCGUGUGAAAGCCCCCGGCUCAACUGGGGAGGGUCACGCGAUACUGUUCGACUCGAAGGCAGGAGAGGGAAGUGGAAUUCCCGGUGUAGUGGUGAAAUGCGUAGAUAUCGGGAGGAACACCAGUGGCGAAGGCGACCUCCUGGCCUGUUCUUGACGCUGAGGCGCGAAAGCUAGGGUAGCAAACGGG